rnacentral:rRNA from 1 species
UGGGGAAUAUUGCACAAUGGGCGGAAGCCUGAUGCAGCGACGCCGCGUGGGGGAUGAAGGCCUUCGGGUUGUAAACUCCUUUCUACAGGGACGAAGCUUUUGUGACGGUACCUGUAUAAGAAGCACCGGCUAACUACGUGCCAGCAGCCGCGGUAAUACGUAGGGUGCGAGCGUUGUCCGGAAUUACUGGGCGUAAAGAGCUCGUAGGUGGUUUGUCGCGUCGUCUGUGAAAUUCCGGGGCUUAACUCCGGGCGUGCAGGCGAUACGGGCUGACUUGAGUGCUGUAGGGGAGACUGGAAUUCCUGGUGUAGCGGUGAAAUGCGCAGAUAUCAGGAGGAACACCGAUGGCGAAGGCAGGUCUCUGGGCAGUAACUGACGCUGAGGAGCGAAAGCAGGGGUAGCGAACAGG